rnacentral:rRNA from 1 species
UACGGAGGGAGCUAGCGUUGUUCGGAUAUACUGGGCGUAAAGCGCACGUAGGCGGCGCAGCAAGUCAGGGGUGAAAUCCCGGAGCUCAACUCCGGAACUGCCUUUGAAACUGCAGUGCUAGAAUUCUGGAGAGGCGAGUGGAAUUCCCAGUGUAGCGGUGAAAUGCGUAGAUAUUGGGAGGAACACCAGUGGCGAAGGCGGCUUACUGGACCGGUUCUGACGCUGAGGCGCGAAAGCGUGGGGAGCAAACAGG